rnacentral:rRNA from 1 species
GCUUAGAGUUUGAUCCUGGCUCAGGAUGAACGCUGGCGGUAUGCUUAACACAUGCAAGUCGAACGGAGUACAUUGUACUUAGUGGCGGACGGGUGAGUAACGCGUGAGAAUCUGCCUUCAGGAUGGGGAUAACAGUGGGAAACCAAUGCUAAUACCCAAUGAGCCGAGAGGUAAAAAAUUUAUUGCCUGAAGAGGAGCUCGCGUCCGAUUAGUUAGUUGGUGGGGUAAAGGCCUACCAAGGCGGCGAUCGGUAACUGGUCUGAGAGGACGAUCGGUCACACUGGGACUGAGACACGGCCCAGACUCCUACGGGAGGCAGCAGUGGGGAAUUUUCCGCAAUGGGCGCAAGCCUGACGGAGCAAUACCGCGUGAGGGAGGAAGGCCUUUGGGUUGUAAACCUCUUUUCUUAAGGAAGAAGCUCUGACGGUACUUAAGGAAUCAGCAUCGGCUAACUCCGUGCCAGCAGCCGCGGUAAUACGGAGGAUGCAAGCGUUAUCCGGAAUUAUUGGGCGUAAAGCGUCCGUAGGCGGCAUUAUAAGUCUGCUGUCAAAGACCGCAGCUCAACUGCGGAGAGGCAGUGGAAACUGUAAAGCUAGAGUCUGGUAGGGGUAGAGGGAAUUCCCAGUGUAGCGGUGAAAUGCGUAGAGAGUGGGAAGAACACCAGUGGCGAAAGCGCUCUGCUGGGCCAGAACUGACGCUGAGGGACGAAAGCUAGGGGAGCGAAAGGGAUUAGAUACCCCUGUAGUC